rnacentral:rRNA from 1 species
UACGUAGGGCGCGAGCGUUGUCCGGAAUUAUUGGGCGUAAAGAGCUCGUAGGCGGUCUGUCGCGUCGGUCGUGAAAACCUGCAGCUUAACUGUGGGCGUGCGGUCGAUACGGGCAUCACUGGAGUUCGGCAGGGGAGACUGGAAUUCCUGGUGUAGCGGUGAAAUGCGCAGAUAUCAGGAGGAACACCGGUGGCGAAGGCGGGUCUCUGGGCCGAUACUGACGCUGAGGAGCGAAAGCGUGGGGAGCGAACAGG